rnacentral:rRNA from 1 species
UACGUAGGUGGCGAGCGUUGUCCGGAAUUACUGGGCGUAAAGGGCGUGUAGGCGGCCUUUUAAGUCAGAUGUGAAAUCUCAGGGCUUAACCCUGAAACUGCAUUUGAAACUGGAGGGCUUGAGGAUCGGAGAGGGCAGUGGAAUUCCCAGUGUAGCGGUGAAAUGCGUAGAUAUUGGGAGGAACACCAGUGGCGAAGGCGACUGCCUGGACGACACCUGACGCUGAGGCGCGAAAGCUAGGGGAGCGAACGGGAUUAGAUACCCCGGUAGUCCUAGCCGUAAACGAUGGGUACUAGGUGUGGGAGGUAUCGACCCCUUCCGUGCCGCAGUUAACACAAUAAGUACCCCGCCUGGGGAGUACGGCCGCAAGGUUGAA